GGAUGUGAUAUUCCUUCGGAACAAGAGAAUCUUAUAUUUCAAUUCACGUUAUCAGAGUUUCUUUUAAGGAUCGUAUUUUUUAAAACUCUUCAAAUUUUUAAUUUUCGACACUAAGACACUGAUUAAUCAACUAGGUACCAAUUUUGGGCGUAUCGAGGGUGCUAAUCCUUCCUCGUGCGUAACCGACUCCCGAACCCGUUUUUCU
rnacentral:lncRNA from 1 species